GCACUGGUGGUUCAGUGGUAGAAUUCUCGCCUGCUACGCGGGAGACCCGGGUUCGAUUCCCGGCCAGUGCA
rfam:Nematostella vectensis strain CH2 x CH6 NEMVEscaffold_326_Cont23914, whole genome shotgun sequence.